GAUGAACGCUGGCGGCGUGCCUAACACAUGCAAGUCGAACGGAGUUACUUGUUUAGAUCUCUUCGGAGUGACGAACUUUUAACUUAGUGGCGGACGGGUGAGUAACACGUGAGCAACCUGCCUUUCAGAGGGGGACAACGGCUGGAAACGGUCGCUAAUACCGCAUAAAAUAUUUGAGCGGCAUCGCUUAAAUAUCAAAGGAGCAAUCCGCUGAAAGAUGGGCUCGCGUCUGAUUAGAUAGUUGGCGGGGUAACGGCCCACCAAGGCGACGAUCGGUAGCCGGACUGAGAGGUUGAACGGCCACAUUGGGACUGAGACACGGCCCAG
rnacentral:rRNA from 1 species